rnacentral:lncRNA from 1 species
UCUAGUUCCAGAUUCUCAAAUCAUAUAGGGCCAGGAGGAGAGGACCAAAUUAUGUCUUAGUUACCUGGCUGCUGGUGGUUGUCUCUGUUUUUUGUAGAGCACAGGUGUAACGGCUUUCAGGGUGGGGGUGGGGAACUCUCCACUGAGUAGUGUGCUGAUGUGGGAGAUCUCUGGCUUGGCCUCUUCCGGCCCUCCUCCCACUCAGCUCCCACCAAUGAUGUAUCAAUAAAACCUCUUGCUGCUGGAGAUCUGCUUACCUGGUGGCCAGGGUGGCAAGACAAGUGAAGCCUGACUAUGCCUGCAGCAUCCACUGUGGAAACUACUACAUCUUUGCCAUGCCAAACACAGCAUGCUUCUGGUCAGCCUAUACAGUCUCUGUCCUGGUGAGGAGCAUGAUCACCAACAGGCAAGAUCUUCUGGCCUUGAAGUUUCGCUUGAGUUAAAAGAGCUCAUCUCAGGUAAGUAACAGGCCAAGAAUGGUGGGCACCGUGACCACUAGCCAACUUGCAAUCCAUUCUACUCCAAAGGACCGGGCUGAAAGAGCAAGAAAACCCUAUAUGCUUAGGUAUCUUUAUCUUGACUAAUGUAUUGAGAAGGGGCAAGUGUACUGGACACUGGUGUGGGAGCUCACAGAGCAGGGAAAUUAAUUUCUUCCCUGAAUCCCAUCCUAUUUGGCUGGGACAUUCUUUUCCUCAAUCUCCCCAAACAUAAAGUAUAAAAAAUGCAGAAAUUCCUUAAAUAUCACUGGCUUACCUGGGCCCUGUGCUCAAAGGUUACCUCGACAUAUCUGUGGCCUGGGAAAGCAUUGCUCCCCUACUCUGGACAUCAACGAGGUAGGGUAGAUCUUCAGGUACAGACAGAUGACCACAUGAUACAAUGCACAGCUGACUUUAGAGAGAAAAGGACCACUUCCUUUCCUUGUUUCUCUACCCCACUAAGUAUCUGCACCAACUAGGAAGAAGAAGGGAAGAGAAAGGAAGACAGAAAAGGAAAGGAAAAGAAAAAGGAUGGAAGGAAAGCUUAGAUGCUGGGGUGGGGAAGGGCUGAGCUGGAGAAAAUAAAAAAAAGGAAUGAGUGAUACAGUAGGGAAAGGAGUUUGAGGGGGCUUUCUAGGAUAAUUUCGGUGACUAAAAAGUGACAGAUGGGUUUACCCUUCCAAAAAAAAUGGAUUUAUUAUUGCUUUUAUCCUCUCUUCGGAUGAACAGUCACACCCAUUUUAUAGAGGACAGGGAAUGUGCGUCUUCCUUUUUCUGGAUCUCAGGAUGUGAUAUUGAUAUGAGGGUGGUGUUGGAACCACCAGCCAAAUUGUGUUCUCAUGGUCAGAUACCACACUGUCACAGUGGGUCUGUGGUGGCAGAAGAGCAAGGCAUAUCAGGAGAGGCUGGUAGAGACAGGGCCAAUUAGUUAGGAAGAAUAAGGAAGAGCAUACACAGUCUCCGUAGUCCACAUGUGGGAGUAGAGAUAAAGAAAUCAGUGCAGUUAAGGAGGGUAGACAGAGCCCAGGAAGACCACAAAACAGCAACGUUCUCAGAGGCCAGAAUCCCUGAUGACUGGGCAUGACAGGGGUCACAGGUGAAUGUGAGCACCUCAGGUCUGAGUUAUUCUAGAAGAAUGUGUACGCUAGGGCUCAGGGAUCUGACUUCAGGAUUGUGGAGGGUAUCUGACUCUGGUAUUUCCCAGAGUGCUGGAGAUAUUGAUCCAAGUUUAUUAAGGGUCCCCAAAACUCUAAGAGACUGCGUCUCAUUUAGCUCCCGCUUACUAAGGACUUGUCAGCCACUGUGAUAGGCAGUUACGUGUCUUGUCUCAUUGAAUCCUUAGCACGAGAUAGGAACUGUUAUUUUGUCCUUUAUUUAGGAAGAACAUGACUUGGGGAAGCUAAGUAACUUGUUUAGCUAGUAAGUGACAGUCCUAGAAGUGACCCCAGGUAUGACUGACUCUAAAACCCAUGGCCUUAGCUGUCCCAUGCUAGCACCAGUGUAGGCCUGAUCUAGAGCCAGGUGUGACACUCAUGAGUGGAUCCUCCCAGGAGACAGGGGAAUCUGGCUUCCUAAGUUCAUCUAGGAACAUCAGGCUGGGGAGGAGAAGCUUCGCCUGAGGCUCAGGCUCUCACGCCUCCUCGACGGCCUCUCUCAGGCCCGUCUCCUCAGUCCCUCUUUCCCUGGCUGACUUUGGCGGUCUAAUGACCUCGGUCCCUCUUUCCUUGGCUGACUUCGGCUGUCUAAUGAAGCCCCUCUAGACAGCUGCUCGCCCACUUGCCCUUCCUUCUCCCUGCUCACCCUGAUGUUUCAGUCUACUCUAUGAUGACCCUGGCCUCAGAUGUUAGGACUAUGCUUUGUUAGAGCGGGAGAGGGAAGAGGAGUAUCAGAGAUCUCUCCCAAACGUCCUUUGCAGGUGAGAACACUGAGCCCCCACGAAGUUGAGGUAAGCUGGCUGGGAGGUGGUGGUAGAGCUGGUGGCAGAACCCACGUCUCCCAGCUCUCCCAGACACCUUAGGGAUUCACCACCACACUGUGCAAGGAGGCUGAAUAGGACCCCCAGCCUUUCUUUGUUCAAAACAACUCCAGUUACCCUGUGCCCCCCUCAGCUCCCAGGGAUCCUUCUUACCCAGGGUACAGGGUGGACUGAGGCAGACCGUGCCAUUCUUGCUGCUCACAGAAUUGCUGACUUGGCAAGUAUAACACCUGGAGUAAUUAUGUGGCAUAAGGGUGGUUUCAAGCACACUGUUCUGGAGCUCCUUUGGGAAGGGCCUUUUGUCCCCAUACCAGGUGUAGUUUACAGACUCGCCAGGUAUCACACAUGACAGUUUCAGAUAACAGUUGUCAUCCAUGUCUUCUAUCUUCUCAAUUUUGAUGACAGGCUUGGGUACAGGGUCUGAAAGUGAGGAGGAUGUUAUAAGAUGAGACAGUGAGGCAUUCAUGCUGUGAAGGUUUAGCCAACAAAGAACAAAGGGAUCCAGGGAAGGGGCCUGAAUGCCCCAGGAGGCAGAGUCAUGAAGAAGAAGUUCUACAGAGGGAGCCAGUGAGCAGCCUUGACCUCCUGAGGCCUCACAGACUCACUGCAAGAGCGGCUUCUAGGCAGUGAAGCUAAGCUGCGUCCUGGAGGGGGCGCCACAGUCCAUCAUAUGCUCUGGGAACAAAAUGGGGUUAUGAUCGUGUGUGAGCCUGAACGAACAGCCCAGAGACUUGCUGGGGUCAGACUUAGUAUAUCAACUGCCUGAGAUGCUCAGGGACCCUUCUCUAGCAACGGUUCAUGGCGGGCACCUUGGCUGGUCUGUCUUUCCAAUUAUCGGAUUCAGCUUCAGCAAGAGUCCUAAGGUAAGAGGUACCUGUCUGCGCGUGGCAAAGUCCUUUGCACAACCAUCCAGUGCAGGUGCCAGCCUUCUAGACUCUGGCAGAGCUACAGAGAAGAACUUCAUGUAACUUCCAGCCGCAUCAAUUGUGAUAAACAGAUUGGUCUGCUAACUUUGGUAUCUCCAUGUCUAGCACAAUCCCUGCCACAUGGCAGGUAUUCUAUAAGUAUCUCAUGAAAGGAUGAAUGAAGUAGUUAUGAGAUAGAAAGGAUAAAACACAGCCGGGUGCAGCGGCUCACACCUGUAAUCUCAGCAAUUUGGGAGGCUGAGGCAGGAGGAUUGCUUGCAGCCAGGAGUUAAGAGACCAGCCUGGGCAACAUUGAGAGACUCAGUUUCUAAAAAAAAAAAAGAAAGAAAAGAAAAGAAAAGUAGCCAGGUGUGGUGGUGUGCACUUUUAGUCCCUGCUACUCAGGAGGCUGAGGUAGGAGGAUUGCUGGAGCCCAGGAGUUCCAGGGUGCAAUAAACUAUGAUUAUACCACUGCACUCCAGCUUGGGUAAGGAGAAGACCUUCAAAAAAAAAAAAAAAAGAAGAAAGAAAGGAAGAAAGAGAGAGAGAAGGGAAGAGAAGAGAGGAAAAAGAAAAAGAAGGGAGGGAGGGAGGGAGGGAGGCAAGUAGACACAAAAACACUAGUUUUGGAGUGAGACCAGCCUGGGUCCUGGACUUGACUCUAGUGGAGUGACAUUAGGCAAGGUAGUUAACCCCCUUGCUGUCAUCUGUAAACUGACUCUACCUCAUCGCGCAAUGUUAGUAAGAUAAAACGUCACCUGUCAUGGAUAAUUGCUUUUUGAAGAGUGUAAGUAUUGCAUACAUUCUAGAGGCCAUUUUACCAUUAUUACUGUUGUACUGCUGCCGGAGAGAAUGAGAGAUAGUCCCAGCAUCUGGUCCUUCCUUGGCUAAGGCCGGUUUACCUGCAAUCCUCUGAGAUCUUUUCAUUCUGGUCAGGGUGAAACAUCUGCAGAAUCAAUGCAACUCAAAUCCCAUAAGAUUAAAAAUUGGCAGAGAAUUGACCAGAUCAGAGCUUGCCUCUUGGUUGUAUGUGUGGAGAGGCUCUAGAAGCUCUACCAAUCUGGUCUCUAGAACUCUAGUUUUGUCUCCUCUGUGAAGCUGAUCUCAGAUCGCUAAAAGAUUGCUCAGACUACAGAGGUGAUAAAAGUUUCCUGGACUUCCCCUAUAUGUUUUAAUUGAGCAAUUUUUAUCCUGGUUUUCACCAUUUCCUGUGUUCUAGCCUCAUAUCUUACACUCCUUCUGCAUUUCCCAUGGUGAUCAGCACAGCACUGGGCACUUUGCUGAUGGAAUUAAUUGAGCCAGCUUGGGUUGUCCAGCUCCAAGAUGCUCGCUUUGAGCUGUCAGAAAUGCUUGGGCUGGACCAGAGGACCAUUUUUUCUGCUAAUCACUUCCUGGAAAUCUUACCCUCAGGCAGGAUGUGCUGAAGCCCAAGCCAGUUUGUGGAUUUUUAAGUACUCAGAAAUUUUGCAAGCUUUUUGUGAAACCAUUAGUUUAUUGAAAUCAACUGUGGUAGCAGUAUUUAAACCACAGAAAUUACAAAGUUGGUAAAUGCUACGCUUUAGGGCUUUUUUUUUUUUUUUUAAAUCUUGU